AUGGUUGCAGAAUGUGUUGUUACAGGAGAGGAGCAUCUACCUGGCAAUCACACAUGCAUUGGCACAAGUCACUCUGCAGUUUUUUUCACAGCUGUUCCACACAGAUCCACCAAAAUGUGCUUAAUUCAUCUCAGCUGAGGCUGAGUCCAGUUCUUACGUACUAAGUAGUCCUCCCACAGUUUGUAUGUUGAAGAACCAACCCCCAGUACCUCAGACCGUAACUUUAUAUAGAGACAAGGCCUUUAAAAAGGUGAUUAAGGUUAAACGAGGUCAUAUAAGUGGAUCCUAAUCCAAUAGGACUGGUAUCCUUAUAAAAGAUUAGGACACCCAUACACACAUUGGAAAGGCCAUGAAAAGA